rnacentral:rRNA from 1 species
UACGUAGGGACCAAGCGUUGUUCGGACUUACUGGGCGUAAAGGGCGCGUAGGCGGCUAAUUAAGUCAGCUGUGAAAUCUCCGAGCUUAACUCGGAACUGUCAGCUGAUACUGAUGUGCUAGAGUGCGGAAGGGGCAAUCGGAAUUCUUGGUGUAGCGGUGAAAUGCGUAGAUAUCAAGAGGAACACCUGAGGUGAAGACGGGUUGCUGGGCCGACACUGGCGCUGAGUGCGCGAAAGCCAGGGGAGCAAACGGG